rnacentral:tRNA from 1 species
GAGGGUGCAGCUCAGUAGUAGAGUGCAUGCUUAGCAUGCAUGAGGCCCUGGGUUCAAUCCCCAGUACCUCCU